GAAGGCAGGCUCCUGGACCUAGAAGGCGGAGAAGGGAGCUCUGCUGCAAAUGUUUCAUCGCUCCACAUAUCAUCGCCAUCCCAGAGCCUAUCAAAGAUUAGAA